GACGAACGCUGGCGGCGUGCCUAAUACAUGCAAGUCGAACGAGAGCAACCGGUGCUUGCACUGGUCAAUCUAGUGGCGAACGGGUGAGUAACACGUGGGUAACCUGCCCAUCAGAGGGGGAUAACAUCCGGAAACGGAUGCUAAAACCGCAUAGGUCUUCGAACCGCAUGGUUUGAAGAGGAAAAGAGGCGCAAGCUUCUGCUGAUGGAUGGACCCGCGGUGCAUUAGCUAGUUGGUGAGGUAACGGCUCACCAAGGCCGUGAUGCAUAGCCGACCUGAGAGGGUGAUCGGCCACAUUGGGACUGAGACACGGCCCAAACUCCUACGGGAGGCAGCAGUAGGGAAUCUUCCGAAAUGGACGCAAGUCUGACGGAGCAACGCCGCGUGAGUGAAGAAGGUUUUCGGAUCGUAAAACUCUGUUGUUAGAGAAGAACAAGUGCUAGAGUAACUGUUAGCGCCUUGACGGUAUCUAACCAGAAAGCCACGGCUAACUACGUG
rnacentral:rRNA from 1 species